UAUUUUCCAUCGCUCUUCCAUGUAAAGAAUACAGCUAUUGGAAUCUGGAUUUCAUGGUCAGCUUAGAAAAUAUCGGCAGUUCUCACAGGCAAAUUCUUAGUGGAGUGCGAAUGACAAAAUCUCAAGUGCCAAAUAUAACCCGUGCAUCACCACGGAGCUGGGAACAGUGCUCCAUACAGGAGAACCAUAACACAGUGCAGCACAAG